rfam:Treponema pedis str. T A4, complete genome.
AAAACACUGCGAGUUUGCCUUUCGGCAAACGUCGUGUAUUAUAUGCCGUUUCUUACUUUGUUGCGAAACGGCAGAAAUUCAUCAAUGCUCGAAAAUUGAUAUUUUCUGCGCUUGCUGAUUUUAUAA